GAUGAAGAACGUAGCGAAAUGCGAUAAGUAAUGUGAAUUGCAGAAUUCAGUGAAUCAUCGAAUCUUUGAACGCACCUUGCGCUCUUUGGUAUUCCGAAGAGCAUGCCUGUUUGAGUGUCAUGAAAAUAUCAACCUUGACUUGGGGUUUGUGCUCUAGUCUCGGCUUGGGAUUGGGUGCUUGCCGCUUUUACGAGCGGCUCACCUUAAAUGUAUUAGCUGGAUCUGUCUUUGAGACUUGGUUUGACUUGGCGUAAUAAGUAUUUCGCUAAGGACAUUCUUCGGAGUGGCCUCGUUUCUAGGACGCUUGUCCGCUUUCCAAUACAAGUUCCACCUCGUGGACAUGACUUUUUAUUAUCUGGCCUCAAAUCAGGUAGGACUACCCGCUGAACUUAAGCAUAUCAAUAAGCGGAGGA
rnacentral:misc_RNA from 1 species